UUUUAUCAGUUUUACAGCUGCGUCCGAAUUCCCAUACUAACAUGUUAUUUAGUAGGCAAAACAGCAUGAGAUG